rnacentral:lncRNA from 1 species
GAGGUGAGCACCCUGCUCUGCCAUGUGCUUCUGCCAUGAUGUACUGCCUCACCACAGGGCCAAAACUUUUGAAAGCAGGAAUGGAAAGAACCUGUUCCUCUUUUAAGUUGAUUUUCUCAGGUAUCUUGUUACAGCAAUGUAAAGCCAACAUAGAUACUGAUGCAUUUGAGAAUAAUGGUGAGUUCUGUACAAAG